rnacentral:rRNA from 1 species
AGAGUUUGAUCCUGGCUCAGGACGAACGCUGGCGGCGUGCUUAACACAUGCAAGUCGAACGGAAAGGCCCUUCGGGGUACUCGAGUGGCGAACGGGUGAGUAACACGUGAGCAACCUGCCCCUAGCUCUGGGAUAGCUCCGGUAACCUGGAAUUAAUACCAGAUAUGAUCACGGCCGACAUCUGCUGUGAUGGAAAGAAU